UACCGAGGUGGCAAGCGUUGUUCGGAAUUACUGGGCGUAAAGGGCGCGUAGGCGGCCAUCUAAGUCAGACGUGAAAUCCCCCGGCUUAACCUGGGAACUGCGUCUGAUACUGGACGGCUCGAGUUUGGGAGAGGGAUGCAGAAUUCCAGGUGUAGCGGUGAAAUGCGUAGAUAUUCGGAAGAACACCAGUGGCGAAGGCGGCUCACUGGUCCGGUACUGACGCUGAGGUGCGAAAGCGUGGGGAGCAAACAGG
rnacentral:rRNA from 1 species